rnacentral:rRNA from 1 species
CUUCCUAUGAAAUCGAGUGGCAAACGGGUGAGUAACGCGUAAACAACCUGCCCUUCGGAUGGGGAUAACAGCCGGAAACGGCUGCUAAUACCGAAUACGAUCUUUUCGUCGCAUGACGGAAAGAAGAAAGGAUGGCCUCUAUACAAAGCUAUCGCCGAAGGAGGGGUUUGCGUCUGAUUAGCUGGUUGGAGGGGUAACGGCCCAACAAGGCGAUGAUCAGUAGCCGGUCUGAGAGGAUGAACGGCCACAUUGGGACUGAGACACGGCCCAGACUCCUACGGGAGGCAGCAGUGGGGAAUCUUCCGCAAUGGACGAAAGUCUGACGGAGCAACGCCGCGUGAGUGAAGAAGGUCUUCGGAUUGUAAAGCUCUGUUAUACGGGACGAAAAAGACGGAUGCCAACAGUAUCCGUCCGUGACGGUACCGUAAGAGAAAGCCACGGCUAACUACGUGCCAGCAGCCGCGGUAAUACGUAGGUGGCAAGCGUUGUCCGGAAUUAUUGGGCGUAAAGGGCGCGCAGGCGGUUCGGUAAGUCUGUCUUAAAAGUGCGGGGCUUAACCCCGUGAGGGGACGGAAACUGUCGAACUUGAGUGUCGGAGAGGAAAGCGGAAUUCCUAGUGUAGCGGUGAAAUGCGUAGAUAUUAGGAGGAACACCGGUGGCGAAAGCGGCUUUCUGGA